rnacentral:rRNA from 1 species
UACGUAGGUGGCAAGCGUUAUCCGGAUUUACUGGGUGUAAAGGGUGCGUAGGCGGGACUUUAAGUCAGAUGUGAAAGCCCAAGGCUCAACCUUGGGAUUGCAUUUGAAACUGGAGUUCUUGAGUGUUGGAGAGGUAAGUGGAAUUCCUAGUGUAGCGGUGAAAUGCGUAGAUAUUAGGAGGAACACCAGUGGCGAAGGCGACUUACUGGACAAUAACUGACGCUGAGGCACGAAAGUGUGGGGAGCAAACAGG